rnacentral:rRNA from 1 species
GAUGAACGCUGGCGGCGUGCUUAAUACAUGCAAGUCGAGCGAACGGACGAGAAGCUUGCUUCUCUGAUGUUAGCCGCGGACGGGAGAGUAACACGUGGAUAACCUCCCUAUAUGACUGGGAUCACCUCGGGAAACGGGAGCUAAUCCCGGAUGAGCUUUUGAUCCGCAUGGUUCAAAGGAGAGAGACGGUCGUGCUGUCAGUAAUAGCUGGUUCCCCGCUGCAUUAGCUGGUUGGUAAGGUAAAGGCUUACCAAGGGAACGAUGCAUAACCGACCUGAGAGGGUGAUCGGCCACACUGGAGCUGAGACGCGGUCCAGGCUCCUACGGGAGGGAGCAGUAGGGAAUCUUCCGCAGUGGGCGAAAGCCUUGCGGAGCAACGCGGCGUGAGUUGCGGAGGUCUUGGGUUCGUAAUACUCUGUUUCUAGGUGUGAACAUAUUUGUAAUGAGCCGUGCCGAUCUUGACGGUACCUGAUCAGAAAGCCACGGCUAACUACGUG